CAAGAAGAAAGAGUUUGAGAGGGAGAGAGAUAUAGUUCCUUUAGGAAUGUUUCCUAACAGGGGAGUGACAAAAUAGUGAGUAGAAUACUAGUCGGGUAUUUUUCGGGAAACACUUUUGUGUGCGCCACUAUUUUGGGUAGAGCUCAGGAAUUGUUGUACCUCCAAAUUAUUGGGGAAGUCUCUCUUUGUAUGCCUGCUAAAUGUUUUAGUGGAAGUUGGUGUCGGAUUUGUGGACGUAGCCUAAACGUUAGGAAAAGAAAAGAGGUCUCUCGCUCAGUUGCUUUAGAGGGAAGGUUCUUCUGAUUGUCAAUGUUCCUGAGCAAGGUUCCGUGUGGACAGAAUCGCAGUAUGAAUUAUUCCAUUAUCUAUAUGACAACCAUAAAUCUCAAGGGUUCGAGAUUGCAGCAUUUCUGUACGAUAAGAAAGAAACUGAUAAAGAAGGAAAUGAAGCACAAAAGGCACCACCAAGGGGACAGCUAGAGAUUAAUGCUGCUAGAUUUCGAGUAUUCGACAAGGUAAAACUGAAUGGUCAAAGGGCACAUCCACUCUUUGUACAUCUAAGGUCAAAAUUUGGGAGAGGAGAACCCAUCAAGACUGAAUUCCACAAGUUUCUCGUAGACAGAAAUGGUGUAGCUUACAAAAGCUUCCCCUUGGACACACCACGUCAGGAGCUUGAGGAUCACGUCAAGCAUUUACUCUUGGAGGAUAUAGAUUGAUAAAGUUUAAGCAACCCAAUAAGAUGGGUCAUUAUUUACUUUUGACCUUUGUAUUUUCUGUUCUUAUAUUCUUCAUACUUGAUGUUAUUGCUGAUGAUUCGUCAGGUAGAAAACAAGUUGAAAAUAAGAAAGUUAUAUCUGAAUUAAUUUAUUAUUGUCUUGCUUAAAUUACAUGCUAGUGCUUAUGAUAUUUCUAAUUUCCCUAGUUUUAAAUUUGUCUUUGGCUGAAUUUGCCGUUGG